rnacentral:rRNA from 1 species
AUUGAACGCUGGCGGCAUGCCUAACACAUGCAAGUCGGGCGAGCGGAGGACGGGUGAGUAAUGUAUGGAGACUGCCUGAUCAAGGGGGAUAACUACUGGAAACGGUCGCUAAUACCGCAUAACAUCAGAUAACCCAUAUGGGAUUAGCUGGUAGGUAAGGUAACGGCUUACCUAGGCGACGAUCCCUAGCUGGUCUGAGAGGAUGUUCAGCCACACUGGGACGGAGACACGGCCCAGACUCCUACGGAGGCAGCAGUGGGGAAUAUUGCACAAUGGGCGCAAUCCGGAUGCAGCAAUGCCGCGUGUAUGAAGAAGGCUUUCGGGGUGUAAAGUACUUGCAGUCGGGAGGCGUUACCGACAUAAGAAGCAUCGGCUAACUCCGUGCCAGCAGCCGCGGUAAUUC